GGCAAAUGAACCACCUGGUGCUUCCACUACUUCCUGAAAAUGAGAGGCUGCUCAGGAGGUGGAAGCAGCUACAUUCCAAAUGGUCAGUUUUUUUGCAGACUCUGAUUGCAAGAUUCAGAGACAGGGUCAACAACAGGUUCCAAAGUCACAACCAGCCAUUGAGGUUCCAAUUUAGAAAUGAGGUGGCAAGGAGAGGAUCCACCUCCUGUUAAACAUGGGCAUGAAGGAGGAAACUAGCUGCCACCUUGUCAGUGAAGAUUUCGCACCCCAUGUGACCCACCAGAAUGCAAAUAAGUGUGAGGAAGGUGGUUCUGGAAGUGUAUUGCAGAAGGGAACCAAAAUUGAGUUAGCAGCAAGUUUAUUGUUUGAUGGCAUCUUCUUCUCAUAAUACGUAAAAACCUGUCACCACGUCAAACCUCAGUUUAUUCAGACCUUCCAUCUGGGAAGUAGUAGCAUUUCCCUGCUCAAUGUCCAUUUGGAUGAGGGCAGGGUUGGAUCUGUGUUAUUGGAUAGCAAAUUGUAUUUAUCUCAAAGGAACCCACCAUAAACCUAUGCAGGAGAGAAGAUUUCGCUCAACAAUGGUGGACAGAUAGAUAGUGUUUCUUCAAAAAAAUUCCAAAAUAUUUUAUUAUAGGGUUAAGUUCACUUUGCCUAGUCCCCCCUUGUACACUUUAAUGUUUGACUUGUGGGAUUUC